rnacentral:rRNA from 1 species
UACGGAAUGUGCAAACGUUAUUCGGAAUCACUGGGCUUAAAGAGUCCGUAGGCGGCUUGUUAGGUGAGGUGUGAAAUCCCCCGGCUCAACCGUGGAAUUGCGCUUCAAACCGGCAAGCUUGAGGAGGAUAGAGGUGGGCGGAACUGAUGGUGGAGCGGUGAAAUGCGUUGAUAUCAUCAGGAACACCGGAGGCGAAAGCGGUCCACUGGGUCCUUUCUGACGCUCAUGCACGAAAGCGUGGGGAUCAAACAGG